GACGAACGCUGGCGGCGUGCUUAACACAUGCAAGUCGAACGGUGAUGCUCCAGCUUGCUGGCGUGGAUCAGUGGCGAACGGGUGAGUAACACGUGAGCAACCUGCCCCAGACUCUGGAAUAAGCGCUGGAAACGGCGUCUAAUACUGGAUACGAAACUGGCCCGCAUGGGCAUGGUUUGGAAAGUUUUUCGGUUUGGGAUGGGCUCGCGGCCUAUCAGCUUGUUGGUGAGGUAAUGGCUCACCAAGGCGACGACGGGUAGCCGGCCUGAGAGGGCGACCGGCCACACUGGGACUGAGACACGGCGCAGACGCCUACGGGAGGCAGCAGUGGGGAAUAUUGCACAAUGGGCGAGAGCCUGAUGCAGAGACGCCGCGAGAGGGAUGACGGCCUUCGGGUUGUAAACCUCUUUCAGCAGGGAAGAAGCGAAAGUGACGGUACCUGCAGAAGAAGCACCGGCUAACUACGUG
rnacentral:rRNA from 1 species